rnacentral:lncRNA from 1 species
AAAAAUCAGAAGAUAUAGUGAUUUCAAAAGAGGUUUAGAAACCCUAGUUUUAAAAAGAAGAACAAAACAUUGAAAUUCAGCAAUCGUAAAGAUCGAGUAAAGAGUAGUGUAAAACAUAAUAAAGUAAGUUAAAAAUUCGUUAAAAAGACCGGGAUUUAAGAGGUGUAGUUAGAAAUUAGGGUAUCACGAGAAACCAGUGAGAGGUAAGAAACCUUGCUGUGAAACUUCAUUAAUAAUGACGUUUGUAAAACGAUCGGACCAAAACCCAUCAGAGAAAGGUCGGAGACAAACCAGACAAAGCUUCUGGUGACCAUCUUGUAUGGUGGGGCUUUUGGGGUCUCGCAGAUAGAGGGAAUAAACAAAACAAGGUUUCACGACGGCUGGUGGUCGA